UACGUAGGGAGCAAGCGUUGUCCGGAAUCAUUGGGCGUAAAGCGCGCGUAGGUGCUCAUAAGUCCGCUGUGAAAGUCAAAGGCUCAACCUUUGAAAGCCGGUGGAUACUGUGGGGCUAGAGUACGGAAGAGGCGAGUGGAAUUCCUGGUGUAGCGGUGGAAUGCGCAGAUAUCAGGAGGAACACCAAUAGCGAAGGCAGCUCGCUGGGACGUUACUGACACUGAGGCGCGAAAGCGUGGGGAGCGAACAGG
rnacentral:rRNA from 1 species